CCUACGGGUGGCAGCAGUGAGGAAUAUUGGUCAAUGGGCGCGAGCCUGAACCAGCCAAGUAGCGUGAAGGAUGACUGCCCUACGGGUUGUAAACUUCUUUUAUAAAGGACUAAAGUGAGGCCCGUGUGCCUUUUUGUAUGUACUUUAUGAAUAAGGAUCGGCUAACUCCGUACCAGCAGCCGCGGUAAUACGGAGGAUGAGAGCGUUCUCCGUAUUUAUUGUGGUUAACGGGUGCGCAGGCGGAGGAACAAGUCAGCGGUAAAACCGCGGGGCUCAACCCCGCUCCGCCGUUGAAACUGUGUCCCUUGAGUGCGCGAAGGGUAGGCAGAAGGCGUGGUGUAGCGGUGAAAUGCAUAGAUAUCACGCAGAACGCCGAUCGCGAAGGCAGCCUACCGGCGCGCAACUGACGCUCAUGCACGAAAGCGUGGGUAUCGAACAGGAUUAGAUACCCGUGUAGUC
rnacentral:rRNA from 1 species